AAGGGCCAAUCGGGGUUUUGGAGCACCGUGAAGCCGUUCGUCAACGGCGGGGGCUUCAUGGAUGCUCGGCAUUUUGUGCCAUCCAGCCUAUUGAUAUGGUCAAGGUAAGAAUCUUUCCAUCUUUUUCUUCUUCUUUUUGUUGCAUUCGGAUCUUUCUCUUCUUACUUUUUGUGAGAUUUUGUUUCUUGGGUUUUGUCUUGUAGAUCACUGAUGUCUCUUCUCUACUUCCUUUCUUUUCCUUAGUUUACCUUCAUUUGUGGUUCAAAACAGAAUAUGUUCUCCAAUAUUUACUGCUUCAGGUUAACAAAAGAAAAAAAAAGCCGUUUUCUUGCUUGGGAUCUGGCAAUUCUUCACCAGUGGGUUCUCUCGCUUUCCUUUUUUUUUUAAUAUCUCCAUUCCAAGAAAAGGACUUCUUUCUGUUCCCUAAACAACAACAACAAGAGCCUGCAGUGCCUGUUGGAUUUUAAUCGUUUGACGAUCUGUAUCUGUUUUCAGGGUUAGUCUUAUCUG
rnacentral:lncRNA from 1 species